rnacentral:tRNA from 1 species
UGGGGUGUGGCUCAGUGAUAGAGCAAUUGCUUAGCAUGCAUGAGGCCCUGGGUUCAUCCCAGUGCCAUAA